AAUUAAUGUUCACCAGUAUAGAAUCACACCUGCAUACCAUUUACAACUUAUCCAUGCAUGGCUAACUCAGUGAAUCCAUUGGCUAUUAUUAUAGUGAACACUUCUCCCUGUGAUUUAAAUACCCAGUCACUAAGAAUUAGAACUCAUUGCAGAAGACAUUUACAGCAGAUAUCAUUGCUGAAGAAAUCAGAUGGGGACAGCGAACUUGGUUUUCUUUAACACCAAGCCAUUGAUAACAUCAAAGAAAAAUUUGCUAAAAUUCAUCAUUAUUGUCUCAUCACCAGGAAGAUGAAAAAAGAACCAGUCAGUAUAAAAAGUGCAGAAUUUCGCAAGUACAAUCUGAAUGAACUUUUUUCCGAAGAAGUGGAUCAGUACCUCUCACCCUCCCCAAAAAAAUACAUACAUGUAAAAAUAAUCAGGCUCCCAAGUAACUUUAUUAAAAAGAAUUAAAAAUCAAUCAAUUAAAAAUAAAAUCAACCAAUUAAAAAUCUAAUUAAUUAUAAAUAUUACAAUCUUGUUUGAUUUUUUUGCAAUUUUUCAAUUUUCAAUUCUUUAUUCGCUCAAGACCAGUUCACUGGUAUUUGAGGUUCAAAAUCAGUAUAUACAAAUGUACACGAUUACAGUCAAGGAUCACAUGUACAGUAGAAGUAAUGAUGACAAAAAAAAGGGUUAAAAUCAACAAUACAAUAGCUUGUUAAAGUUGGUUUCUGGAAGAACAGACUUUGAAAAUUUUCUUAAUAAAUAUUGACAAGUUUUCUUUUAGUUUUUCUACAUUAAAAGUAUUCAUGAGCUCGUUAAAUUUUAUAAUACUUGGGUUUUCAUAAAAUCUCUUGGGUAAAAACAUGUUUCUGUCGUUUGCCUCACACCGGACAAACCGAUCUCACACCGGUGAUAAUGCGAGAAACAAGCAACCCGUGCUAGUUGUUAGGGUUGAUUGUUUUAAGUUGUAGACAUCCAUUAUUUAUGAAUAAAAAUCUCUAUAUAUUCUGCUUCUGCAGGACAAAACUUUACAAUUUGGAAUAUCCCUUCAUAUCCCUUCUAUAUUAUUCAUCUACUUUGCAGAACUUCUCCCACAAUUGUAUCAUUGGUGUUCUGGAAAGGUAAACAACAGUUUUUGUUUGGCAUGAUAUUUUUUUUACCUGGCACCUGUCUCGAGUAACACUUGUCCUCAAGCAACCCGUGCUAGUGUUAGGGUUGAUUGUUUUAAGUUUAAAAGAUAUCCUUUAUCAUAAAAGUCUUCGAUUUGAAUAGCAAAUGUGCAUGUAAUACACAAUACACAAUUUUAAAAGAUGCAAAAAAACAACAAAAUAUUUUAAUUUUUUUAAAAAUGAAGUUUAUACAAUUGAAGAAAGAAAAAGAAAAGAAAUAUCAUGCCAACAGAUGAAAUCGAACAAUGAUACAAAAAACCAACUUUUUUAAAAAUUUGCAGUAAGUUACAGCAAUGGAACCAACUGAAUUAUUCAAACUUAUAAAUGUAACACGUAUAUACGGACCUCUUCAAUACAAUUAAGUUAUAAUGUAUUUUUUUUUAGGUUUUUUGGUUUAAAUCUAAUCCUGUUGUUGGUUAGUUGUUGCUUUUUAUAUAAACGGAUCGACGAAGGAUAAAAUGUAGUUUUGAAACUAUUGUAUGUUCAAAGGGCUUCGGUGUUUUACUUUAUAUUAGGGAAUCAAAUAAAUACAGUUUAGUACCAUUAUUUUUUUAAUGCCAGGAGAACAUCUUACUGCUUUGUUUGUAGUUUUGAUACCAUAAAGAUUUUUUGGAGUUCCUAAUAGAAUACAUUCUGUUUUGUUUAUGUUUCAUUUUAGAUCCAGCGUGUUUUCUAGAACCUUAAACAAGAAAUUCCACUCCACGGAAUCGAAUGCUUUUUCAAAGUCCAAGAAGAGUAAUAUGAUAUCAAGAUUUUCUGUUUCACAGUAUUCAAACACAUCUAUAGAAUUAAUCGAGUGUUUUUCCCGAUAUAUGUAUGCAGUUUGUUGUUCGCUAAUUAGUUUAGUUAAUAUAGUUUGUAAUCUUUUCGCAAAAAUGAAAGCAAUGAUUUGUUAAACUAAUUGGUCGGUAAUUUUUUAAGCUAUCUUUUCCCCCUUUUUGUAAAUUAAAGAUAUCAUAGAAAGUCUUUGAGAGUAUGCCAUUUCACCUCUUUGAAAUAUUUCAUUUAGAGCUUUGUAGAAAAAAGGACCGAUUACGUCCCAAAAACAUUGAUAAAACUCACAAGGUAAGCCAUCUAAACCAGGUGAUUUUUUCUUUUUUUAUGUUAAUUACUACCUCUCUACAUUCUUCAUAUGAGGGAAAAUUAUAAAAAUUUCUAUCAUCGUUUAAAUAACGAUGAUAGAAAUUUUAGGAUUUUCGCUUAUUUCCGACAGAUUUUCAAUUGGAAUAUU